rnacentral:rRNA from 1 species
CCUACGGGUGGCUGCAGUGAGGAAUAUUGGUCAAUGGGCGCGAGCCUGAACCAGCCAAGCAGCGUGCAGGAUGACUGCCCUACGGGUUGUAAACUUCUUUUAUACAGGAAUAAAGUUAGGCACGUGUGCCUUUUUGUAUGUACUUUAUGAAUAAGGAUCGGCUAACUCCGUGCCAGCAGCCGCGGUAAUACGGAGGAUCCGAGCGUUAUCCGGAUUUAUUGGGUUUAAAGGGAGCGUAGAUGGGUUGUUAAGUUAGUUGUGAAAGUUUGCGGCUCAACCGUAAAAUUGCAAUUGAUACUGGCAGCCUUGAGUACAGUUGAGGUAGGCGGAAUGCGUGGUGUAGCGGUGAAAUGCUUAGAUAUCACGAAGAACACCGAUUGCGAAGGCAGCUUACUAAACUGCCACUGACAUUGAGGCUCGAAAGUGUGGGUAGCAAACAGGAUUAGAUACCCGAGUAGUC